CGCCUGUUUAUCAAAAACAUCUCUUCUCGUUAGUUUUUGAAGUAUGGCCUGCCCACUGACCUUGAAUGUUGAAGGGCCGCGGUAUUUUGACCGUGCAAAGGUAGCAUAGUCAUUAGUUCUUUAAUUGUGAUCUGGUAUGAAUGGCUUGACGAGGCAUAAGCUGUCUUAAUUUUGAAUUGUUUAUUGAAUUUGGUCUUUGAGUUAAAAUUCUUAGAUGUUUUUAUGGGACGAGAAGACCCUAUAGAGUUUGACAUUUAUUCACGGUCUCUUUCUGUUUGUGAGGGUUCACUAGGGCUGUUUAAUAUGUUUUGUUGGGGUGAUGGGAGGGAUAUUAUUUAACCCCUCCUUUGUGUUGUUAUAUUUAUUUGUAUUUGCUUGAUCCAUUUAUUUUGAUUGUAAGAUUAAAUUACCUUAGGGAUAACAGCGUAA
rnacentral:rRNA from 1 species